rnacentral:rRNA from 1 species
ACAUGCAAGUCGAACGCUUUUUCUUUCACCGGAGCUUGCUCCACCGAAAGAAAAAGAGUGGCGAACGGGUGAGUAACACGUGGGUAACCUGCCCAUCAGAAGGGGAUAACACUUGGAAACAGGUGCUAAUACCGUAUAACACUAUUUUCCGCAUGGAAGAAAGUUGAAAGGCGCUUUUGCGUCACUGAUGGAUGGACCCGCGGUGCAUUAGCUAGUUGGUGAGGUAACGGCUCACCAAGGCAACGAUGCAUAGCCGACCUGAGAGGGUGAUCGGCCACACUGGGACUGAGACACGGCCCAGACUCCUACGGGAGGCAGCAGUAGGGAAUCUUCGGCAAUGGACGAAAGUCUGACCGAGCAACGCCGCGUGAGUGAAGAAGGUUUUCGGAUCGUAAAACUCUGUUGUUAGAGAAGAACAAGGAUGAGAGUAAAAUGUUCAUCCCUUGACGGUAUCUAACCAGAAAGCCACGGCUAACUACGUGCCAGCAGCCGCGGUAAUACGUAGGUGGCAAGCGUUGUCCGGAUUUAUUGGGCGUAAAGCGAGCGCAGGCGGUUUCUUAAGUCUGAUGUGAAAGCCCCCGGCUCAACCGGGGAGGGUCAUUGGAAACUGGGAGACUUGAGUGCAGAAGAGGAGAGUGGAAUUCCAUGUGUAGCGGUGAAAUGCGUAGAUAUAUGGAGGAACCCCAGUGGCGAAAGCGGCUCUCUGGUCUGUAACUGACGCUAAAGCUC